GGGGCUGACUUGGAUUUCGACAGAUUUCUUGUCGCACAGAUUGCAUGCCAAGUGCUACUUGUAAAACAGCAACAAAAAUAACUGUAAACAACACAGAUUACGCUCCAGCUUACGCUAAAGCUGCGUGAGUUAAUCUCCUUUUGGAGCUGGACUGAUUAGAAUUUCUAGCGUUUUAAUCACUCCAUAACCUUAAGCUAGACGCUUUUAAAAGGUGGUUCGCCUUUUAAACUAAGAAACAAGAACUCUUGAAACUAUCUCAAGGUUUUAGAAAGUUGGACCAGAGCUAGUUUUAAGGCUAAAAACUAACCAAUUUUCUAAGCAUUGUAGAAGUUUGUGUUUAGGGCAAGAUUUUUGGACUGGGGUUCGAUUCCCCACAGCUCCACCA
rnacentral:tmRNA from 1 species